GCCUGGGUGGCUCAGUUGGUUAAGCGUCUGACUUCAGCUCAGGUCAUGAUCUUAUUUAUGGUCUGUGAGUUCGAGCCCCAUGUCAGGCU
rnacentral:tRNA from 1 species